rnacentral:rRNA from 1 species
UACGUAGGCAGCAAGCGUUGUUCGGAAUUACUGGGCGUAAAGCGCGUGUAGGCUGCUUGGAAAGUCGGGUGUGAAAGCCCUGAGCUCAACUCAGGAAGUGCACUCGAAACUUCCGAGCUCGAGUCCUGGAGAGGGUGGCGGAAUUCUCGGUGUAGAGGUGAAAUUCGUAGAUAUCGAGAGGAACACCGGUGGCGAAGGCGGCUACCUGGACAGUGACUGACGCUGAGACGCGAAAGCGUGGGGAGCAAACAGG